rnacentral:rRNA from 1 species
AUUGAACGCUGGCGGCACGCCUAACACAUGCAAGUCGAGCGGCAGCGAGACUAGUAGCAAUACUAGUUGUCGGCGAGCGGCGGACGGGUGAGUAACACGUAGGAAUCUGCCCUUAAGCGGGGGAUAACCAAGGGAAACUUUGGCUAAUACCGCAUAAUCUCGAGAGAGCAAAGCUGCCCGCAAGGGUGGCACUUGAGGAGGAGCCUGCGUCCGAUUAGCUAGUUGGUGGGGUAAUGGCCUACCAAGGCGAUGAGCGGUAACUGGUCUGAGAGGACGACCAGUCACGCUGGGACUGAGACACGGCCCAGACUCCUACGGGAGGCAGCAGUGGGGAAUAUUGGACAAUGGGGGCAACCCUGAUCCAGCGAUGCCGCGUAAGUGAAGAAGGCCUUCGGGUCGUAAAGCUCUUUAGGUUGGGAAGAAGGGUAUUGGCUGAAUAAUCCAGUACUUUGACGGUACCGACAGAAUAAGCACCGGCAAACUCUGUGCCAGCCGCCGCUGUAAUAC